UGGUCACAUAUCGCUCAGACUGUUUCCAGAACUUUCUUCUUUCAUUUGAAGGGGAAGUUUGUUGAUAAUAGCUUAGAGUGAGACCUCAUUCCAUUGAAGGCAGCUGCCUGCGGUGGUGGAAAGAGAACUGAGGCUGGAGUCAGAACAUAGAGCUUCUUGUCCUGCUGCUGUGGCUUUGGGGAAAGUUGCUGUCCUUCUCUUGACCUCAGUUUUGCUUCCAGCUUACGAUUUCCAAGAGAGAAGUGUUUAAUUCUUGGCUAACAGGGCAAAGUGCUCACGGACCUCAUCCCUACACUGGUGGCUGGUAAGAAGCAUGGAGAAUAAACAGGAAGCCACAACUCACAGGGUUCCCAGCCUAUCAAAAAGGGCGGUUCACAUCCGAUGACUGAUCCAUGGAAAGAUAUUGAGGCCUGAACCCCUUUCCCCAUCUGGAACAACUCUGAAGGCUCACUCCAUAUUCACAUUUCCCAUGGCAUCAGAGAUGAACAUGCUGCCUAGAGGAGUGGGAAACCAGCCAGAUACCCUCGUCCUGGUUUGAUCUUGCCUCACUGAAGGCACAUGACACGGAAGACCACAGUGUGAAGGACUCUGAAAUAAUCAAAGCAAAUGGCAUCGUUUCAUGGAAGUGCCUGGCACAUAGAAGAUGCAGAAUAAGAAGUUUAUAAACAAAUGAAAGGCUGAGCUGAGACAAGACGAGAGGCUUCAGGACCAGGCAGCCACAUAGAGAAGCCACCGAAGGCCUAUUCCUUGCCAGUCACACCACAUGAGUGAUGUUAUGGAAGAAAAGAAAACUGGAGCUCUGAGAGGAGUCUUGUUCUGUCACCCAGGCUGAUGUGCAGUGGCACAAUCAUGGCUCACUG